rnacentral:siRNA from 1 species
GGGCGGCUCGUCUAUGGCCUGGG